rnacentral:tRNA from 1 species
UCCCCUGUAGCAAACAGGUGUAGGCAACAGACCUUUAAUCUGUGGGGUUAGGUUCGAUUCCUAACAGGGGAA